UUGAUACAAUGAUGAGCCCAUAGUUCAGCAGAUAAAAUAAUGAAGAAUGACCUAUCGUCUUUCGCUCCUAUCUGAUGUGUCGC